UUUCCAAAAGGUACACCUGUUUGAGUGGUCAUG
rnacentral:rRNA from 1 species